UGGGGAAUAUUGCGCAAUGGGGGAAACCCUGACGCAGCAACGCCGCGUGCGGGAUGACGGCCUUCGGGUUGUAAACCGCUUUCAGCAGGGAAGAACCUCGACGGUACCUGCAGAAGAAGCUCCGGCUAACUACGUGCCAGCAGCCGCGGUAAUACGUAGGGAGCGAGCGUUAUCCGGAUUCAUUGGGCGUAAAGCGCGCGUAGGCGGGCAUCUAAGCGGGACCUCUAAUCUCGGGGCUCAACCUCGAGCCGGGUUCCGAACUGGAUGCCUCGAGUCCGGUAGGGGCAAGUGGAAUUCCCGGUGUAGCGGUGGAAUGCGCAGAUAUCGGGAAGAACACCGAUGGCGAAGGCAGCUUGCUGGGCCGCGACUGACGCUGAGGCGCGAAAGCUAGGGGAGCGAACAGG
rnacentral:rRNA from 1 species